rnacentral:rRNA from 1 species
GACGAACGCUGGCGGCGUGCUUAACACAUGCAAGUCGAACGGAAAGGCCCUGCUUUUGUGGGGUGCUCGAGUGGCGAACGGGUGAGUAACACGUGAGUAACCUGCCCUUGACUUUGGGAUAACUUCAGGAAACUGGGGCUAAUACCGGAUAGGAGCUCCUGCUGCAUGGUGGGGGUUGGAAAGUUUCGGCGGUUGGGGAUGGACUCGCGGCUUAUCAGCUUGUUGGUGGGGUAGUGGCUUACCAAGGCUUUGACGGGUAGCCGGCCUGAGAGGGUGACCGGCCACAUUGGGACUGAGAUACGGCCCAGACUCCUACGGGAGGCAGCAGUGGGGAAUAUUGCACAAUGGGCGGAAGCCUGAUGCAGCAACGCCGCGUGCGGGAUGACGGCCUUCGGGUUGUAAACCGCUUUCGCCUGUGACGAAGCGUGAGUGACGGUAAUGGGUAGAGAAGCACCGGCUAACUACGUGCCAGCAGCCGCGGUGAUACGUAGGGUGCGAGCGUUGUCCGGAUUUAUUGGGCGUAAAGGGCUCGUAGGUGGUUGAUCGCGUCGGAAGUGUAAUCUUGGGGCUUAACCCUGAGCGUGCUUUCGAUACGGGUUGACUUGAGGAAGGUGGGGGAGAAUGGAAUUCCUGGUGGAGCGGUGGAAUGCGCAGAUAUCAGGAGGAACACCAGUGGCGAAGGCGGUUCUCUGGGCCUUUCCUGACGCUGAGGAGCGAAAGCGUGGGGAGCGAACAGGCUUAGAUACCCUGGUAGUCCACGCUGUAAACGGUGGGUACUAGGUGUGGGGUCCAUUCCACGGGUUCCGUGCCGUAGCUAACGCUUUAAGUACCCCGCCUGGGAAGUACGGCCGCAAGGCUAAAACUCAAAGGAAUUGACGGGGCCCCGCACAAGCGGCGGAGCAUGCGGAUUAAUUCGAUGCAACGCGUAGAACCUUACCUGGGUUUGACAUGGAUCGGGAGCGCUCAGAGAUGGGUGUGCCUCUUUUGGGGUCGGUUCACAGGUGGUGCAUGGCUGUCGUCAGCUCGUGUCGUGAGAUGUUGGGUUAAGUCCCGCAACGAGCGCAACCCUUGUUCACUGUUGCCAGCACGUUAUGGUGGGGACUCAGUGGAGACCGCCGGGGUCAACUCGGAGGAAGGUGGGGAUGACGUCAAGUCAUCAUGCCCCUUAUGUCCAGGGCUUCACGCAUGCUACAAUGGCUGGUACAGAGAGUGGCGAGCCUGUGAGGGUGAGCGAAUCUCGGAAAGCCGGUCUCAGUUCGGAUUGGGGUCUGCAACCCGACCUCAUGAAGUCGGAGUCGCUAGUAAUCGCAGAUCAGCAACGCUGCGGUGAAUACGUUCCCGGGGCU